UGCAAGUCGAGCGGUAGCACGGGAGAGCUUGCUCUCUGGGUGACGAGCGGCGGACGGGUGAGUAAUGUCUGGGAAACUGCCUGAUGGAGGGGGAUAACUACUGGAAACGGUAGCUAAUACCGCAUGACCUCGCAAGAGCAAAGUGGGGGACCUUCGGGCCUCACGCCAUCGGAUGUGCCCAGAUGGGAUUAGCUAGUAGGUGGGGUAAUGGCUCACCUAGGCGACGAUCCCUAGCUGGUCUGAGAGGAUGACCAGCCACACUGGAACUGAGACACGGUCCAGACUCCUACGGGAGGCAGCAGUGGGGAAUAUUGCACAAUGGGCGCAAGCCUGAUGCAGCCAUGCCGCGUGUAUGAAGAAGGCCUUCGGGUUGUAAAGUACUUUCAGCGGGGAGGAAGGCGUUGUGGUUAAUAACCACAGCGAUUGACGUUACCCGCAGAAGAAGCACCGGCUAACUCC
rnacentral:rRNA from 1 species